AACACAAUCUUCAUCAUCACACAAGACACAACAACAACAAUGAACAACAUCAUCAUCCUCAUCUGGACCAUUGCAGCUUUUAUUCAAGAGUGUAGAGGACAGAUCACUGUAACUCAGAGUCCAUCAAUAACAGCAGCUCAACCAGGACAAGAAGUCAGAAUAAACUGUAAAACCAGCAGUUCAGUGUAUGGUGGUAGUUACUUACACUGGUACUUACAGAAACCUGGAGAAGCUCCUAAACUCCUCAUAUAUCAGAUAUCAAACCGUUACACUGGAGCUCCAUCUAGAUUCAGUGGCAGUGGAUCUUACUCUGGAAGUGAUUUCACUCUGACCAUCAGUGGAGUCCAGACUGAAGAUACAGGAGAUUAUCACUGUCAGAGUAGACACUGGAUCAACAGUAAAGAUGUGUUCACACAGUGA